AUUGAACGCUGGCGGCAGGCCUAACACAUGCAAGUCGAACGGUAACAGGAAGCAGCUUGCUGCUUUGCUGACGAGUGGCGAACGGGUGAGUAAUGUCUGGGAAACUGCCUGAUGGAGGGGGAUAACUACUGGAAACGGUAGCUAAUACCGCAUAACGUCGCAAGACCAAAGAGGGGGACCUUCGGGCCUCUUGCCAUCGGAUGUGCCCAGAUGGGAUUAGCUAGUAGGUGGGGUAACGGCUCACCUAGGCGACGAUCCCUAGCUGGUCUGAGAGGAUGACCAGCCACACUGGAACUGAGACACGGUCCAGACUCCUACGGGAGGCAGCAGUGGGGAAUAUUGCACAAUGGGCGCAAGCCUGAUGCAGCCAUGCCGCGUGUAUGAAGAAGGCCUUCGGGUUGUAAAGUACUUUCAGCGGGGAGGAAGGGAGUAAAGUUAAUACCUUUGCUCAUUGACGUUACCCGCAGAAGAAGCACCGGCUAACUCCGUG
rnacentral:rRNA from 1 species